UUUUGGGAGCUUGCUCCCAAAAGUUAGCGGCGGACGGGUGAGUAACACGUGGGCAACCUGCCUAUAAGACUGGGAUAACUUCGGGAAACCGGAGCUAAUACCGGAUCAUUCUUUUCUACACAUGUAGAAAAGCUAAAAGACGGUUUACGCUGUCACUUAUAGAUGGGCCCGCGGCGCAUUAGCUAGUUGGUGAGGUAACGGCUCACCAAGGCCACGAUGCGUAGCCGACCUGAGAGGGUGAUCGGCCACACUGGGACUGAGACACGGCCCAGACUCCUACGGGAGGCAGCAGUAGGGAAUCUUCCGCAAUGGACGAAAGUCUGACGGAGCAACGCCGCGUGAGUGAUGAGGGUUUUCGGA
rnacentral:rRNA from 1 species